CUUAACACAUGCAAGUCGAGGGGCAGCAUGGUCUUAGCUUGCUAAGGCCGAUGGCGACCGGCGCACGGGUGAGUAACGCGUACCCAACCUGCCUUACACUCUUGGACAGCCUUCUGAAAGGGAGAUUAAUACAAGAUGUUAUCAUGAGUAAGCAUUUUCGCAUGAUUAAAGGUUUACCGGUGUAAGAUGGGGAUGCGUUCCAUUAGAUAGUAGGCGGGGUAACGGCCCACCUAGUCUUCGAUGGAUAGGGGUUCUGAGAGGAAGGUCCCCCACAUUGGAACUGAGACACGGUCCAAACUCCUACGGGAGGCAGCAGUGAGGAAUAUUGGUCAAUGGACGAGAGUCUGAACCAGCCAAGUAGCGUGAAGGAUGAAGGUUCUAUGGAUUGUAAACUUCUUUUAUACGGGAAUAAACGGAUCCACGUGUGGAUUUUUGCAUGUACCGUAUGAAUAAGGAUCGGCUAACUCCGUGCCAGCAGCCGCGGUAAUACGGAGGAUCCGAGCGUUAUCCGGAUUUAUUGGGUUUAAAGGGAGCGUAGAUGGGUUGUUAAGUCAGUUGUGAAAGUUUGCGGCUCAACCGUAAAAUUGCAAUUGAUACUGGCAGUCUUGAGUACAGUUGAGGUAGGCGGAAUUCGUGGUGUAGCGGUGAAAUGCUUAGAUAUCACGAAGAACUCCGAUUGCGAAGGCAGCUUACUAACCUGUAACUGACAUUGAUGCUCGAAAGUGUGGGUAUCAAACAGGAUUAGAUACCCUGGUAGUCCACACGGUAAACGAUGAAUACUCGCUGUAGGCGAUAUACAGUCUGCGGCCAAGCGAAAGCAUUAAGUAUUCCACCUGGGGAGUACGCCGGCAACGGUGAAACUCAAAGGAAUUGACGGGGGCCCGCACAAGCGGAGGAACAUGUGGUUUAAUUCGAUGAUACGCGAGGAACCUUACCCGGGCUUAAAUUGCAACCGAAUAUGGCGGAAACGCUAUAGCUAGCAAUAGCGGUUGUGAAGGUGCUGCAUGGUUGUCGUCAGCUCGUGCCGUGAGGUGUCGGCUUAAGUGCCAUAACGAGCGCAACCCUUGCCGAUAGUUACUAACAGGUCAUGCUGAGGACUCUGUCGGGACUGCCAUCGUAAGAUGUGAGGAAGGUGGGGAUGACGUCAAACCAGCACGGCCCUUACGUCCGGGGCUACACACGUGUUACAAUGGGGGGUACAGAGGGCUGCUACCACGCAAGUGGAUGCCAAUCCCAAAAACCUCUCUCAGUUCGGAUUGAAGUCUGCAACCCGACUUCAUGAAGCUGGAUUCGCUAGUAAUCGCGCAUCAGCCACGGCGCGGUGAAUACGUUCCCGGGCCUUGUACACACCGCCCGUCAAGCCAUGGGAGCCGGGGGUACCUGAAGUGCGUAACCGCAAGGAGCGCCCUAGGGUAAAACUGGUGACUGGGGCUAAGUC
rnacentral:rRNA from 1 species